GACGAACGCUGGCGGCGUGCUUAACACAUGCAAGUCGAACGGAAAGGCCCUGCUUUUGUGGGGUGCUCGAGUGGCGAACGGGUGAGUAACACGUGAGUAACCUGCCCUUGACUUUGGGAUAACUUCAGGAAACUGGGGCUAAUACCGGAUAGGAGCUCCUGCUGCAUGGUGGGGGUUGGAAAGUUUCGGAGGUUGGGGAUGGACUCGCGGCCUAUCAGCUUGUUGGUGGGGUAGUGGCUUACCAAGGCUUUGACGGGUAGCCGGCCUGAGCGGGUGACCGGCCACAUUGGGACUAAGAUACGGCCCAGACUCCUACGGGAGGCAGCAGUGGGAAAUAUUGCACAAUGGGCAGAAGCCUGAUGCAGCAACGCCGCGUGCGGGAUGACGGCCUUCGGGUUGUAAACCGCUUUCGCCUGUGACGAAGCGUGAGUGACGGUAAUGGGUAAAGAAGCACCGGCUAACUACGUG
rnacentral:rRNA from 1 species